CUAAGGAGACUGCCGGUGGACAAACCGGAGGAAGUGGGGAUGACGUCAAGUCAUCAUGGCCCUUACGGCUAGGGCUACACACGUGCUACAAUGGUCGGUACAAAGGGUUGCCAAGCCGCGAGGUGGAGCUAAUCCCAUAAAACCGAUCGUAGUCCGGAUCGCAGUCUGCAACUCGACUGCGUGAAGUCGGAAUCGCUAGUAAUCGUGAAUCAGAAUGUCACGGUGAAUACGUUCCCGGGCCUU
rnacentral:rRNA from 1 species